AUGCUUCUAGUACUUGCUGCUCCCUUUGUCGUGCGCAAAAUCAAGUUAAAUAGAGCAAACAAAAUGAAAAAAAGAUUCUUUGAGCAAAAUCAUGGGUUGUUGUUGCAACAAUUAAUAUCACAGAAGACAGAUUUUGGUGAAAGAAUGAUCAUUCCCUUACUGGACCUAAAAAAGGCGACAAAUAAUUUUGAUAGAACACGUGAAGCCGGUACCGGAGGACACGUUGUGUAUAAAGGAAUUCUAGACCUAUUGGUUGUCGCCGUCAAGAAAUCAAAGAUUGUUGUACGGAGGGAAAUCAAUGACUUCAUAAAUGAGGUUGCAAUCCUUUCUCAAAUCAACCAUAGAAAUGUGGUGAAGCUAAUCGGAUGUUGCCUUGAGAUAGAAGUCCCGUUACUGGUUUAUGAAUUCAUUUCAAAUGGAACUCUCGAUCAACAUCUUCAUGUUGAAGGCCUGAAAUCACUAUCAUUGGACGAUCGAAUAAGGAUUGCACUUGAAGUUGCUACAACUCUGUCUUAUCUUCAUUCAGCUGCUUCGAUGCCAAUUUUUCACACGGAUAUUAAAUCAUCCAAUAUACUUCUAGAUGAUAAUUUAACAACAAAGGUAUCAGAUUUUGGAGCUUCGAGAUACAUCGCAAUCGACCAAACUGGAGUGACUACAGCCGUGCAAGGAACAAUAGGCUACUUGGACCGCAUGUACUAUUAUACCGGUCGCCUAACAGACAAGAGUGAUGUUUUCAGUUUGUAG
rnacentral:rRNA from 1 species